UACGUAGGGGGCAAGCGUUGUCCGGAAUUACUGGGCGUAAAGCGCACGUAGGCGGAUUGUUAAGUUAGGGGUGAAAUCCCAGGGCUCAACCCUGGAACUGCCUUUAAUACUGGCAAUCUCGAGUCCGAGAGAGGUGAGUGGAAUUCCGAGUGUAGAGGUGAAAUUCGUAGAUAUUCGGAGGAACACCAGUGGCGAAGGCGGCUCACUGGCUCGGUACUGACGCUGAGGUGCGAAAGCGUGGGGAGCAAACAGG
rnacentral:rRNA from 1 species